GGGGAAUAUUGCACAAUGGGGGGAACCCUGAUGCAGCCAUGCCGCGUGAAUGAAGAAGGCCUUCGGGUUGUAAAGUUCUUUCGGUGGUGAGGAAGGUAUCAAAUUUAAUAGAUUUGGUAAUUGACGUUAGCCACAGAAGAAGCACCGGCUAACUCCGUGCCAGCAGCCGCGGUAAUACGGAGGGUGCGAGCGUUAAUCGGAAUAACUGGGCGUAAAGGGCACGCAGGCGGAUUGUUAAGUGAGAUGUGAAAGCCCCGGGCUUAACCUGGGAAUUGCAUUUCAGACUGGCAAUCUAGAGUAUUUUAGGGAGGGGUAGAAUUCCACGUGUAGCGGUGAAAUGCGUAGAGAUGUGGAGGAAUACCGAAGGCGAAGGCAGCCCCUUGGGAAUAUACUGACGCUCAUGUGCGAAAGCGUGGGGAGCAAACAG
rnacentral:rRNA from 1 species